rnacentral:rRNA from 1 species
GUAGGUGGCAAGCGUUGUCCGGAAUUAUUGGGCGUAAAGCGCGCGCAGGCGGUCCUUUAAGUCUGAUGUGAAAGCCCACGGCUCAACCGUGGAGGGUCAUUGGAAACUGGGGGACUUGAGUACAGAAGAGGAAAGCGGAAUUCCACGUGUAGCGGUGAAAUGCGUAGAGAUGUGGAGGAACACCAGUGGCGAAGGCGGCUUUCUGGUCUGUAACUGACGCUGAGGCGCGAAAGCGUGGGGAGCAAACAGGAUUAGAUACCCUGGUAGUCCACGCCGUAAACGAUGAGUGCUAAGUGUUAGGGGGUUUUCCGCCCCCCUUAGUGCUGCAGCUAACGCAUUAAGCACUCCGCCCUGGGAGUACGGCCGCAAGGCUG